rnacentral:rRNA from 1 species
GGGCCUGCGGAUGUCUAUAAUGCAGUCGGACGGGAUUUUGGAGCUUGCUUCAAAUGAGAGUGGCGCACGGGUUGCGUAACACGUAUGUAACCUACCUUCUUCAGGGGGAUAGCCUCUCGAAAGAGAGAUUAUUACCGCAUAAAAUCACAAUGUGGCAUCACAGAAUGAUCAAAUAUUUAUGGGAAGAAGAUGGGCUUGCGGAACAUUGUCUGCUUGGUAAGGUAACGGCUUACCAAGGCUACGAGUUUUAGGGGAUUUGAUAGGAUGACCCCCCACACUGGUACUGAGACACGGACCAGACUCCAACGGGAGGCAGCAGUAAGGAAUACUGGUCAAUGGGCGGAAGCCUGAACCAGCCAUGCCGCGUGCAGGAAGACGGCCCUAUGGGUUGUAAACUGCUUUUACAGGGGAAUAAACCUCGCUACGUGUAGUGAGCUGAAUGUACUCUGAGAAUAAGGAUCGGCUAACUCCGUGCCAGCAGCCGCGGUAAUACGGAGGAUCCAAGCGUUAUCCGGAUUUAUUGGGUUUAAAGGGUGCGUAGGUGGCCUGUUAAGUCAGGGGUGAAAGACGGUAGCUCAACUAUCGCAGUGCCCUUGAUACUGAUGGGCUUGAAUAAACUAGAGGUAGGCGGAAUGUGACAAGUAGCGGUGAAAUGCAUAGAUAUGUCACAGAACACCAAUUGCGAAGGCAGCUUACUAUGGUUUUAUUGACACUGAGGCACGAAAGCGUGGGGAUCAAACAGGAUUAGAUACCCUGGUAGUCCACGCCCUAAACGAUGAAUACUCGAUGUUGGCGAUAUACGGUCAGCGUCUAAGCGAAAGCGUUAAGUAUUCCACCUGGGGAGUACGCCCGCAAGGGUGAAACUCAAAGGAAUUGACGGGGGCCCGCACAAGCGGAGGAGCAUGUGGUUUAAUUCGAUGAUACGCGAGGAACCUUACCCGGGCUUGAAAGUUAGUGAAUGAUCCAGAGACGGAU